UCCGGAGGGAGCUAGCGUUGUUCGGAAUUACUGGGCGUAAAGCGCACGUAGGCGGCUUUGUAAGUUAGAGGUGAAAGCCCGGAGCUCAACUCCGGAACUGCCUUUAAGACUGCAUCGCUUGAAUCCAGGAGAGGUGAGUGGAAUUCCGAGUGUAGAGGUGAAAUUCGUAGAUAUUCGGAAGAACACCAGUGGCGAAGGCGGCUCACUGGACUGGUAUUGACGCUGAGGUGCGAAAGCGUGGGGAGCAAACAGG
rnacentral:rRNA from 1 species